GGUUCUGUAGUGUAGUGGUCAUGACAUCUGCUUUACACGCAGAAGGUCCUGGGUUAAAUCUCCAGUAGAACCA